CUCUCAGGUGCCAUCACCAGCCACAGGGGCUGGGUCCAGCUUACCCCGGACGCACCCUGGGCUCCUCGGCCACAGGAGGGUGGAGCCAGGUAGGGGCCAGGCCCUGCUC